AUUGUAAAAGUCAUCUUAUUUUCCUCAUAAUUUUAAUUCAAACGUUAUAAACCUAAUUAUUUACUGUUCCACCUACAAUCAACCCUAUUCUAGCUUACUUGUUAAAAACUGACAGCCCUACAUCUUCCCCCUGCGUCACAAGGUAUUGAAUAUACUUAACCUUCAUUCUUCUUCUAAGCCACAUUUAUGAGCAACAAACAUGAAAAUAGAAAAGGCAAUGAUGACUAAAACGAAAUGAGUUACUGAAAUCAAAUUUUUGAACCUGGCGACUGCGUAUGUCUCGAUUAACAAAGUAUCGGCUCACAUGCACUGGUUUUUCUUUGGAUGCGUGAAUGUAGACUGAGAAUCUGCCUUCAUGACCCUG